UACGGAGGGGGCUAGCGUUAUUCGGAAUUACUGGGCGUAAAGCGCACGUAGGCGGACGGAGAAGUCAGAGGUGAAAUCCCAGGGCUCAACCUUGGAACUGCCUUUGAAACUUUUCGUCUUGAGGUCGAGAGAGGUGAGUGGAAUUCCGAGUGUAGAGGUGAAAGUCGUAGAUAUUCGGAGGAACACCAGAGGCGAAGGCGGCUCACUGGCUCGAUACUGACGCUGAGGUGCGAAAGCGUGGGGAGCAAACAGG
rnacentral:rRNA from 1 species